GGAAAAAUGAGUUUUGAACGGUCAUCCAACUUGGAAUUACUAUUCGUAAACUCGGGCGUCAUGCCGCUUUCAAAACAAUUGAGAACUCUGGCUAAAAUUAGCUCGGACUGGGAAAAAUAAUUUUGAAUUCCAAGUCGGAACUCUUUCUCCGUCGUGAUUUGACCUAGUUUUUUUCCGAGUUCCCAGUUGUCUUGAAAGCGCCAUCGUCAUUAGAACUCCGACUUCUCUGACAUGAAGGUCACUGACGUCCCGAUCCUAAGAUUUCCCCCCCCAUUCUGAGCUCGUUUUUUCCGAAUCCCCAAUUCGCUUGAAUGCACCAAAAGUUUAUAUAGCGCAAAAGACUGGCCAGCCACAUGCUUGCUCAUUCGAUUAGUCUUGUGAUCGACCUGAAGACGCCUUUCUCAAUGUCGAAGUUAUGGCUUAGAAAUGCUUCAUUGGUGUUUAACGUUAGUUAUUGGUACACUGCUGCCACUUGAGUCUUGCAAUGCUCCUGAACUGGUCAUUAACUCCAAGUAGCUAAAUUGGUGUUGUGGAGGGUUGGGCCUUGCAGAACCAUGCACGUGGGGAACUGGAGAAACGUAAAACCAUUCCGGGGGUAAGUUUAUGUUUGGCGCGGAUGUUACUGAAUUAACUGCUAAUACGUAACUAACGUGGUCGAUUUUUGACAAUUUAUGGAUGUGAUCUAGUAAGACGAAGAUUCCUAAACUGUUAGCCAUCUGAUCCACGAACACGGAAAACCAGUUUACGCAAUGGAAAUUAGCAUGGGUAACUGUAGCCGAUUAAACGCAACUCCGCGCUUUAUGAUUGAGCUAAGGGGCGACUAGUGUUGACGAACUGGCGCUGCUCAUACGUUACAUAACAUGGAAGUUAACUACUGAUUUCGGCACCCAUAGAAUAUCCCGAAAUUACAGACAUGGUGUUUGUAAUUGCGGCCUGUUUGGGCGCUGAACUCGUUUUCUUUUUGUUGUUGUAAACGUCACUAUUGUGACGUCGGAGCUCCAGUCCGCCCAUAGUUGCAGCUCAACUCCAUCUUAAAUCGAGGCGUUUAGUUGGCUAAGUUAGCUAGUCCACACAUUUUUUUGAAAUGCAAGUCCUGUUAAGUCCUCAUGCAAUUAACCAAAUUGUACAUUAGUUCUAGAUUCGGGAGCCCACUCCUUCUGGACCUGGCCAGGGCGGUAUGAACUGGAGCAUACCCCAUUGACUGCACAUGGCUGGUAAAUUCAACUGGCUAUUGAGGCCAGACUAGUAAUGUCUAGUUGGGUAUUCAAUGGCAAAUUGUUUAUAAUUUUAAACGAAUUGGUGUCUAGUCCUCUGAUCAAUGAUUUUGAAUAGGCACCAUGGCCACAGCUGGCAGUGAUGAAAGCUUGAAUAGGAAGAGUUUGAUGCAACAACUGAUGAUUUCAACUACUACUGAGCAACAGCUGUGUUAAGAGACCUUCAGCCAUGUUCAGGAGAUAAUUGUUUUCAUAUCGAUUCUCAUAACCCCCCUGUGAUUUGUUUUGAACAGGAGUGAUACCGCCCCAAUGAGUUGAUGACUAGAAGACUCACGGUGUUAAACCACCCCAAUGGGUUGAUGGCAAGUAGACUUAACCUGGUAAGGUGGUGUCCCUUUGAAUAACAUCCCUGCAAGUUCUCCCUGGACUGGACCUGUGGACGAUUCUCUUCCACGUGGCCGGAGUUUCCAAGACGGUCGGUCCUUUCUUCCUCUGGAAGUGAUCAACUGGAAGGAAUUGUGUUGUGUGGUAGCCCAUAUGGGACUCACCUGGGACAUGGAUACCUGAAGACCGAAGGCUCAACAUUGUUAAUAAAUAUCAUGAGCAGCAGUGGUUUCCUUUGUCUUUUCCAUGUGUGUUCUGCUUUGUUUGUGAGGUUUUGCUGAGUAAUGGUGUUUGUCUGUGACUAUAGCAAAGACGGUCAUUCUUUUUAACUUCAAUAAAUCGGUUUUAACCAAG
ensembl:lncRNA